rnacentral:lncRNA from 10 species
CCCACCCCGAGGAGGAGCCAGUGGCCGCGGCACCGCCCUGAGCCGGGCGCAGCCGCCACCGCUGGGGCGCUACGUGGUCCCCCGAAGGCGCCGGCCUGAGAGCCUGAGGGGAGUCGCCCAGCGUGCGACGCUAGGCUCGGGCUUACGGCUCAAACAAGUUCAGGCUGCAGCCUGUUGGGCUUUGCCUUCAAUUACUUUCUGUGACCGUUGUGUUUUCUAUUCUACAGUCAGAGCACAGAAACGGUUUUCUUCGGGCUUUUGAAAGAGGUUUAUGAACUAAGCACCUGAUUUCCACCUAUAAUACUGUAAUUCAAUAACUUGUGUGAUAUAUGAGAAAUCCUGAAGUUCAUCACACUGUAACUGAAUUGCCAUUCCCACAACACUCCAGAGAGUUCUCUUGUCCUCUUUUGGCCAUGUGAGGAUACAAGAAGAUGGCAGUCUGCAACCAAGACGGCUCUCACCAGAACCCAACCAUGCUGGUAAUCUGAUCUCAGACUUCCAGCUCCAGAGCUGUAAGAAAUAAAUUUCUGUCGUUUAUAAGCCAC